CUCUUCAGUCCUAUAUCAGUUUUUGCACCAAAAAAUUAAGAUCUCAGUUGAUCCUGAAACAUACUAGUUCUUGGUGACCGGGAAUGAUACGUAUAGAAAUAAAUCAGCAGGGAAACUACAUCAGCAUGAUGAUAUCUCCUCUCAUGUAAAUUUAAUGAUAGUAUCCAUUCUCACUACUCACUUGCACUUGGUAUUUAUAGUCGGAUGGAACCAUCCGGUGCUAAUGAGCCAUAACCCAACCUUAGAAAUAUCCAUUAAAGCAGACGUAUAAAGUUCUCGGCUUGCACAAGUUUUGGGGGAGAAAGAAGAUGAAAGGGUUGUACGUAGGUGUUUUAAUAUAUUUUGCUCUUUGUAGAAAAGGCAGGAGAAUGUCUUAAUAUAUGCUCUUCUGGCAAUGGAAUUUUUCCUUUGAUUACCAA